rnacentral:lncRNA from 1 species
CCCUGGCCUCACCCCGUAAGAUGACGUUUCGACUCCGCCUCCUCUGGGAGACAUGAACACCCCACCCCUUCCGGGGGACAGGCAAACCUAGUGCGCAACGGCAUCCCUGUGACGUAAUAGUAACGGUCCGUUUCCGGGGUGGAGCCAGGGAGGGCGGGAGUUUAGGCUGCGCUGACCCCUCUCAGCCCCCCCUCCAGGAGACGUUCGGAGCCCAGGACAUGUCGGGAAUGAGGAGAUACGAGGUGGCGCUGGAGGCGGAGGAGGAAGGAUCUACUGGGGCUGUUUCUACUUUUUCCCCUGGCUUCGCAUGUGGCGGAGGGAGCGGAGCUCGGCGCACCCCGGGGAGCAGAAGCUGGAGCCUCUGCGAGGCCUGAUGAGCUGUCUGUCCAGCGGCCUGGGUCCUACUCCCCAGCGCUCGGGUCGUGGCUUCCCCCGCCGCAGCCCCACC